rnacentral:sRNA from 1 species
GCCAGCGCCUGGAGGAGUCCAUCUGCAUCAAUGACCGCCUACGGGAGCAAUUGGAACACCGGCUGAGCUCUACUGCUCGUGGAAGCGGAUCCACUUCUAACUUCUACAGUCAGGGCCUGGAGUCCAUACCUCAGCUCUGCAAUGAGAACAGAGUCCUCAGGGAAGAAAAUCGAAGACUUCAGGCUCAACUGAGUCAUGUUUCCAGAGCAAGAAGAUUUGAGAGGAAAGGUCACUGCUGGGGGACGAUAACAAAAGUUAACAGAUAAGAAAGAGGGCAGAACUACUGAGCUACCGUUGCAUGCUUG